AUAUUUAGUAAUAUAAGCUUAACCUAUGCUAUUUGAAUUAAAAACUGUUUUUAAAUUAAUAAAAUUUGAUUAGAUUUGUUAGAUUAGCAAUUUCCACUCAGAUUUACCGUUAAUGUUUCCACUAUUUAAAUGUUUUUUUUUUGAGAAACUUUGAUUUCUUUCUAAUUUGGACACACAUUAGAAGAUUCAUCACAGUCAGGAAACAGAAAGGAGUGUUUCCCAACAAGAGGAAGCAGAGAAGCAAGAAACUAAAGACAGCGAUGGAGAUGAUGACAGUGAUGAAGAUACAUCUGAUGACGGACAGGUAAACAUG